UCGACCAGACCGAGUCGGACUGCUCUGGUGCGACACAAUGAUCGCUGCGUUGCUUCUCCGUCCAAACUCUAACCCUAGCUCGCGAUUCUCCGGCAUGGACGUCUCCCUCUACGGUCGACGGCGUCGCUUUUUCGUAAGAAAUUCCCCCGUUUCUUGCUUCUUUUUCUUCUCUAGCAAGAAAUGGGAUUCCUUAGCUGGUGAUUUCGUGCUUCGAGCCGCCGUUGAAGAUCGCGGAGAAUCCUAACGCGUCUUGAGGUCGAGGAACAAGCGCAUGAAAACGUCGGAUGAUAAUUCCUUAGCUGGUUAGAUGUUUAAUGUCAUUUACAAGUGAAAGAGUGGGGAGAGGAAAUGGUCUCCCACCAGUGGAAAAAUCCUAAUUCUUAGGUCAUUAUUGUAUAUUAAAUAAACAUCUAGAAAGAUGAUGCCUAACAGCAUGAGGAGUGAUGAUGCCUAACAGCAUGAGGAGUUGCAAAAAACCUGAGCUGUUAUUAGAACAGGGAAGGACUAAAAUUGUUCGAAAAAAAAAUGAAGCCAAUUUGAUCUAUGAUCUCAUAUUCUUAUGAGAGCGAACAGUUGCCAGAAUAAUUAUUCUGUAUGUCAUCAGAAAGGAACUCCUUGAACAAGCUAGUCGACCAUACCGCAGCUCAUGUUGGUAUGAUGUAUCAUAACAUCUCGAGAAUUUUGAAGAUGUAUUCCAUCUGUGUUGAGGCUGCUGCCUGGUGAAGCAAUUGUCAUAUUGAAGACCUGGACAGCUUCACAAUUAUCAAACUUGAGGUGGCACUGUUGACUAUUCUGGAUUGUGAUGCCAGUUACUGUCACAUUGUAACUCCCAUAGAACCUCAAAGCCUGCAAAACAGGAUUAGAUAAGAACACGGAUUCAAAAUGUUAUUCAUAUUGUCUUGGGCAUUGCUUAUUUUGUGGCAGCAAGGUAAAGAAUAGAAUCUUACAGUUGGCUUGAUCUGCGGCAGAUUUUUACUGAGCUCCUCAUUUAUCUGUCAAAGAUUUCAUCAUUAGGAAUGGAAAUCCAGUAUGAGUGCACUAUGAUUCUUUUAACCAUAGUAAUAUCUGAUGAAUAUGAGAGUUAUUGCUAGAAUGAGAUUCGAUUGUGAAAACACCGGAGGAUGAAAGUGGGGAGUUCUAGUUCAAUAUUUAGUGUCACUAUAAUUAUUUCUUAAGCUGACAGGAAUUCUUGAAACAGAAAAUGAACAUGGAUCAGCUUUUUCCCAUGAUUAAUGGAUAAGAAAUCAUGAGAUUGGUAGCAGAAUUGGAUAAUGUUUCCAUAAUUUCAGGGAGAUCUACUUAUAUAUUUAUGAUGGAGGUCGAUGGUCAUGAGGCUUACCGGAUCAACAUCAGACUCGGCAUUUGUCCACCAGACACUGCCUCGCCCUUCAAUUACUCCACUGCCUUGAAUUGUUAUUCCUCUAAGCUUUGUGAAUUCAAUCCACCACAGUAGCCCAGAUCCCCAGUAUCUGGCAUCAGUUGGAGCAAUAAUCAUCCCAUCCAGCUGCAAGAGAGUGUGUGCAAUUCUUCAGGAUACAGUUCAUUGUCUGCUUCAUGUAGCUUAUGUUGCAGUGGUGGUUUUAUGGCUCACAAACUGAUCAGCUCCUAUAUCUGAAUGUGAUUACAAUCUGACUCCGGACAUGAGGUUUAGGGUCUGGAAACCUAUGUAUCAAAUCUUUCAAGUGGUGGUCAGGCACAACCUGUGCAAAUUAAUACAGAUACAUAUGCUUGGACUCUAUCUGAAUGCAAUGGCAAUCUGACUCUGGACAUGUAAAUUUGGGUCCUGAUAUCUGUGUUUCAGAUCUUUCGAGUUGUGGUCGGGCACAACCUAGACCAACAUACUGGAACAUGAUCAAACCCAAUUGCCACCCUUAGCAAAAGAAUAUAUUGUAGCCAACUGUUUCUAGCAAAACCAUUGUGUUUCUGUGCUGAAAAUUUGUGUUUCUAUAGCUGAGUUUUGAGGUUACCUGGAAA